AUUGGGCAAUGUGCGAUUAUUCUGAUACUUCGCUUAUUCAUCAUGAGUCAUGACGGUCCACCCACCUCCCGUUCUUCGAUAUCGUCGUUGAUUCGUUCGUUCGCUCGUUGGUUCGUUCGGUUGAUCGAUAAACCGUCGAUUUUACAGGCAAUCACGGAUGAUCAAGUAUGAUUGUAUGUAAAAUCGAUGGGGUCACCGCACCCGGAAUCGCAGGUGACACGACACUUUCAUCGUCAUCGAAUUCGUGGCAACCUCACGAUGCUUUGUCGAACGUAUUCAGAUGCUACACGAAGUGGAAACACACUUGAGGAAAGAUCGAAACCAACGUAAAAAAGUCAAGAAAUCGCUUACGUAAUUCCGAGAGUUUCUAUCGGAAGUGU